rnacentral:rRNA from 1 species
GAUGAACGCUGGCGGCGUGCCUAAUACAUGCAAGUCGAGCGAACAGACGAGGAGCUUGCUCCUCUGACGUUAGCGGCGGACGGGUGAGUAACACGUGGAUAACCUACCUAUAAGACUGGGAUAACUUCGGGAAACCGGAGCUAAUACCGGAUAAUAUAUUGAACCGCAUGGUUCAAUAGUGAAAGACGGUUUUGCUGUCACUUAUAGAUGGAUCCGCGCCGCAUUAGCUAGUUGGUAGGGUAACAGCUUACCAAGGCAACGAUGCGUAGCCGACCUGAGAGGGUGAUCGGCCACACUGGAACUGAGACACGGUCCAGACUCCUACGGGAGGCAGCAGUAGGGAAUCUUCCGCAAUGGGCGAAAGCCUGACGGAGCAACGCCGCGUGAGUGAUGAAGGUCUUCGGAUCGUAAAACUCUGUUAUUAGGGAAGAACAAAUGUGUAAGUAACUAUGCACGUCUUGACGGUACCUAAUCAGAAAGCCACGGCUAACUACGUG